rnacentral:rRNA from 1 species
GAUGAACGCUGGCGGCGUGCCUAAUACAUGCAAGUCGAGCGAACAGACGAGGAGCUUGCUCCUCUGACGUUAACGGCGGACGGGUGAGUAACACGUGGAUCACCUCCCUAUAAGACUGGGAUAACUUCGGGAAACCGAAGCUAAUACCGGAUAUUAUAUUGAACGGCAUGGUUCAAUAGUGAAAGAGGGUUUUGUGUUCACUUAUAGAUGCAUCCGCGCGGCAUGAGCUAGUUGGUAAGGUAACGGCUUACCAAGCCAACGAUGCGUAGCCGACCUGAGAGGGUGAUCGGCCACACUGGAACUGAGACACGGUCCAGACUCCUACGGGAGGCAGCAGUAGGGAAUCUUCCGCAAUGGGCGAAAGCCUGACGGAGCAACGCCGCGUGAGUGAUGAAGGUCUUCGGAUCGUAAAACUCUGUUAUUAGGGAAGAACAAAUGUGUAAGUAACUAUGCACGUCUUGACGGUACCUAAUCAGAAAGCCACGGCUAACUACGUG